GUGCUCUCUUUGGCAGCACAUACGCUAAAGUUGGAACAAUACAGAGAAGAUUAGCAUGGCCCCUGCACAAGGAUAACACAAAUUCAUGAAGCAUUUCAUAUUUUU